UUCCGGUUGAUCCUGCCAGUAGGUUACUGCUAUCGAGAUUCGACUAAGCCAUGCGAGUUGAAUGUUCUUCGUGAACAUGGCGGACUGCUCAGUAACACGUGGACAACCUACCCUUCGGUCCGGCAUAAUCCUGGGAAACUGGGGGUAAUUCCGGAUAGGCCACAGAUGCUGGAAUGCACUGUGGCCCAAAGCUCCGGCGCCGAAGGAUGGGUCUGCGGCCUAUCAGGGUUGUAGUGGGUGUAACGUACCUACUAGCCUACGACGGGUACGGGUUGUGAGAGCAAGAGCCCGGAGAUGGAUCCUGAGACACGGAUCCAGGCCCUACGGGGUGCAGCAGGCGCGAAAACUUUACAAUGCGGGAAACCGUGAUAAGGGAAUCUCGAGUGCCAGCAUAUAAUGUUGGCUGUCCAGAUGCCUAAAAAGCAUCUGUUAGCAAGGGCCGGGCAAGACCGGUGCCAGCCGCCGCGGUAACACCGGCGGCCCGAGUGGUAACCGCUUUUAUUGGGUCUAAAGGGUCUGUAGCCGGCCAUGUAAGUCCCUUGGGAAAUCUGGCAGCUCAACUGUCAGGCUGCUAGGGGAUACUGCUUGGCUUGGGACCGGGAGAGGUGAGAGGUACCUUGAGGGUAGGGGUGAAAUCUUGUGAUCCUCGGGGGACCACCAGUGGCGAAGGCGUCUCACCAGAACGGGUCCGACGGUAAGGGACGAAAGCUAGGGGCACGAACCGGAUUAGAUACCCGGGUAGUCCUAGCCGUAAACGAUGCUCGCUAGGUGUCAGUCACGGUGCGACCGUGAUUGGUGCCGUAGGGAAGCCGUGAAGCGAGCCACCUGGGAAGUACGGCCGCAAGGCUGAAACUUAAAGGAAUUGGCGGGGGAGCACAAGGGCGAAU
rnacentral:rRNA from 1 species